AAAUAACUAAAGUGUUUGUUGCUGUUAUAGUAUAAUGAUAUUAAAUCAUCCCUUUAAAUUAAAGUUAUCAAUAACAAAGAAUUCGAAAACAUUUAAAGUUUGAUUUCAUACAAAUGACAGCUUUCAAACAUAAAGUGACUUUGAGUCGAGUAAACGUUUUGAACAAUCAGUAGUAAAUACUUUGCAAUCUCGUAUGUGCGGAACGUACCUGCAUAUGGCGGACGCUCGGUUUGUGUUUAUGUCAAUAAAAAACUGAUUUUUGUUUUCGCGGGUGAGGAUUUACAGAAAUUUAUUAUAGAUUAUUUGCCAGUGUAACCUGUGAAUUGUGUGUAUUUUUUGUGAUAAUGUUUUACGUAACUGGACUCGAAAGCAAUUUAAUAUCUUCAGUGGACUUAUAAGGACAUUUAGUUGCAAAACGGUGCGGGCCACGAUGUUUUUGAAGACCACGCCCGUGAGUAUAUAGUCGUGUUUUAUUAGAAAUUGUAAAUGAUAAUAUUUUUUAAUUUAGU
rnacentral:misc_RNA from 1 species